GACGAACGCUGGCGGCGUGCUUAACACAUGCAAGUCGAACGCUGAAGCCCUUCGGGGUGGUUGAGUGGCGAACGGGUGAGUAACACGUGGGUAAUCUGCCCUGCACUCUGGGAUAAGCCUUGGAAACGGGGUCUAAUACCGGAUAGGACACAUCGCCGCAUGGUGUGUGUGUGGAAAGUUCCGGCGGUGCAGGUUGAGCCCGCGGCCUAUCAGCUUGUUGGUGGGGUGAUGGCCUACCAAGGCGACGACGGGUAGCCGGCCUGAGAGGGUGACCGGCCACACUGGGACUGAGACACGGCCCAGACUCCUACGGGAGGCAGCAGUGGGGAAUCUUGCGCAAUGGGCGAAAGCCUGACGCAGCAACGCCGCGUGGGGGAUGACGGCCUUCGGGUUGUAAACCUCUUUCGACCGGGACGAAGGAUUCGUUUGACGGUACCGGUAGAAGAAGCACCGGCUAACUACGUGCCAGCCGCCGCCGUAAAAC
rnacentral:rRNA from 1 species